rnacentral:rRNA from 1 species
UACGGGGGGGGCAAGCGUUGUUCGGAAUUACUGGGCGUAAAGGGUCUGUAGGUGGCCAACUAAGUCAAACGUGAAAUCCCUCGGCUUAACCGGGGAACUGCGUCUGAUACUGGAUGGCUCGAGUGUGGGAGAGGGAUGCGGAAUUCCAGGUGUAGCGGUGAAAUGCGUAGAUAUCUGGAGGAACACCGGUGGCGAAGGCGGCAUCCUGGACCAUAACUGACACUGAUAAGCGAAAGCCAGGGGAGCAAACGGG